rnacentral:rRNA from 1 species
CACCCGAAGCCCGUGGCCCAACCCGUAAGGGAGGGAGCGGUCGAAGGUGAGGGGGGUAAGGGGGACUAAGUCGUAACAAGGUACCCGUACCGGAAGGUGUGGGUGGAUCACCUCCUAAAA